rnacentral:snRNA from 1 species
GGAUGUGAGGGGUAAUCGGGCUGCAACAUCUGUCACCUCAUUAUUUUCCAGGGUUGGUUCAGCUCAUCUGGGUGGUUGGAUGGUUGCCUCUUUUCUCUCUCACCACACCAUGUGAGUCUCUUCUGAGGCUGCACUUAAAGAGGAUGCAGGAUGUCCAAGAAGAUGACCUUUCUCUGAGUAGAGAUUGAGCUGUCUUCAGUUAUACAUAUAGGGAGCAGCUGUGCUCAAGGUCUCAAAAAGAUAUAGAUAUUAGUUGUGGGAAAGUCUUUUAAUGU